rnacentral:rRNA from 1 species
GACGGACGCUGGCGGCGUGGAUUAGGCAUGCAAGUCGAACGGUAGGAUCCUUUCGGGGAUCUGAGAGUGGCGAACGGGUGAGUAACACGUAGGUGAUCUACCCUCAAGACGGGGACAACCCAGGGAAACUUGGGCUAAUACCGGAUGUGAGCUAUCGCGAGAUAGUUUGAAAGGUGGCUUCGGCUGCCGCUUGAGGAUGAGCCUGCGUCCUAUUAGCUAGUUGGUGAGGUAACGGCUCACCGAGGCAGUGAUAGGUAGGCGGCCUUAACGGGUGGUCGCCCACACUGGGAUUGAGAUACGGCCCAGACUCCUACGGGAGGCAGCAGUCGAGAAUAGUCUACAAUGGUCGAAAGACUGAUAGUGCGACGCCGCGUGAACGAAGAAGCCCUUCGGGGUGUAAAGUUCUUUUAUAUGUGAGCAGUGACACCCAUAUUAAUAGUAUGGGUGUAGAGAUAUUAGCAUAUGAAUAAGCAACGGCUAACUCCGUG